GACGAACGCUGGCGGCGUGCUUAACACAUGCAAGUCGAACGGAAAGGCCCUGCUUUUGUGGGGUGCUCGAGUGGCGAACGGGUGAGUAACACGUGAGUAACCUGCCCUUGACUUUGGGAUAACUUCAGGAAACUGGGGCUAAUACCGGAUAGGAGCUCCUGCUGCAUGGUGGGGGUUGGAAAGUUUCGGCGGUUGGGGAUGGACUCGCGGCUUAUCAGCUUGUUGGUGGGGUAGCGGCUUACCAAGGCUUUGACGGGUAGCCGGCCUGAGAGGGUGACCGGCCACAUUGGGACUGAGAGACGGCCCAGACUCCUACGGGAGGCAGCAGUGGGGAAUAUUGCGCAAUGGGCGGAAGCCUGAUGCAGCAACGCCGCGUGCGGGAUGACGGCCUUCGGGUUGUAAACCGCUUUCGCCUGUGACGAAGCGUGAGUGACGGUAAUGGGUAAAGAAGCACCGGCUAACUACGUG
rnacentral:rRNA from 1 species